rnacentral:rRNA from 1 species
GGGCCCGCACAAGCGGUGGAGUAUGUGGUUUAAUUCGAUGCAACGCGAAGAACCUUACCAGGGUUUGACAUCCUGCGAAUCUCUUGGAAACGAGAGAGUGCCUUCGGGAACGCAGUGACAGGUGGUGCAUGGCUGUCGUCAGCUCGUGUCGUGAGAUGUUGGGUUAAGUCCCGCAACGAGCGCAACCCACGUCGUUAGUUGCCAGCAUUUAGUUGGGCACUCUAGCGAGACCGCCGGUGAUAAACCGGAGGAAGGUGUGGAUGACGUCAAGUCAUCAUGCCCCUUACAUCCUGGGCUACACACGUACUACAAUGCUACGGACAAAGGGCAGCAAACUCGCGAGAGCUAGCAAAUCCCAUAAACCGUGGCUCAGUUCAGAUCGUAGGCUGCAACUCGCCUACGUGAAGGAGGAAUCGCUAGUAAUCG